UAAAAGACCGAAAGGUAUGCUUGAGGAGGGGCCUGCGGCGCAUUAGUUAGUUGGAGAGGUAAAAGCUCCCCAAGACGAUGAUGCGUAGCCGGACUGAGAGGUUGAACGGCCACAUUGGGACUGAGAAACGGCCCAAACUCCUACGGGAGGCAGCAGUAGGGAAUUUUCGGCAAUGGGGGAAACCCUGACCGAGCAACGCCGCGUGAAUGAAGACGUAUUUCGGUAUGUAAAGUUCUUUUAUCGAGGAAGAAUGGCGUAAGGCGAACCUUACGAUUGACGGUACUUGAUGAAUAAGCCCCGGCUAACUAUGUGCCAGCAGCCGCGGUAAUACAUAGGGGGCAAGCGUUAUCCGGAAUUAUUGGGCGUAAAGGGUGCGUAGGCGGUCAAUUAAGUCUUUGGUGUAAGUGCAGUGCUUAACGCUGUGAUGCUAAAGAAACUGGUUGACUGGAGUGUGGUAGAGGCAAGUGGAAUUCCAUGUGUAGCGGUGAAAUGCGUUGAGAUCGUGAGGAACGCCGGUGGCGAAGGCGGCUCUCUGGACUGUAACUGAUUCUGAGGCACGAAAGAUGGGGGAGCAAACAGGAUUAGAUACCCUGGUAGUCCCAUCCGUAAACGGUGUGCACUUGGUGUGGGAGGAUUUAUCCCCUUCCGUGCCGGAGCUAACGCGUUAAGUGCACCGCCUGGGGAGUACGGCCGCAAGGCUAAAACUCAAAGAAAUUGACGGGGGCCCGCACAAGCGGUGGAGCAUGUGGCUUAAUUCGAUGCAACGCGAAGAACCUUACCAAGGCUUGACAUGCAAUUGCACGCCC
rnacentral:rRNA from 1 species